GCCUGGGUGGCUCAGUCAGUUGAGCGUCUGACUUCGGCUCAGGUCAUGAUCUCAUGGUUCAUGAGUUCAAGCCCCACCUUGGGCU
rnacentral:tRNA from 1 species